rnacentral:rRNA from 1 species
AGAGUUUGAUCCUGGCUCAGAAGGAACGCUGGCAGCGUGCAUAACACAUGCAAGUCGAACGAUGAAGCAUUCUUCGGAAUGUGGAAGAGUGGCGAACGGGUGAGGAACACGUAAGAAUCUGCCCCUCGGUCGGGGACAACUUUUGGAAACGAAAGCUAAUACCCGAUACGCUGUGGAGUGAAAGAAUUUCGCCGAGGGAUGAUCUUGCGUCUGAUUAGCUAGUUGGUGCGGUAAUGGCGCACCAAGGCGACGAUCAGUAGCUGGUCUGAGAGGAUGAACAGCCACAUUGGAACUGAGACACGGUCCAAACUCCUACGGGAGGCAGCAGUGGGGAAUUUUCCGCAAUGGACGAAAGUCUGACGGAGCGACGCUGCGUGAAGGAUGACGGCCUGCGGGUUGUAAACUUCUUUUCUCGAAGAAGAAGCUCUGACGGUAUUCGAGGAAUAAGCAUCGGCUAACUCCGUGCCAGCAGCCGCGGUAAGACGGAGGAUGCAAGUGUUAUCCGGAAUCACUGGGCGUAAAGCGUCUGUAGGUGGUUUAAUAAGUCAACUGUUAAAUCUUGAGGCUCAACUUCAAAAUCGCAGUCGAAACUGUUUGACUAGAGUAUAGUAGGGGUAAAGGGAAUUUCCAGUGGAGCGGUGAAAUGCGUAGAUAUUGGAAAGAACACCGAUGGCGAAGGCACUUUACUGGGCUAUUACUGACACUCAGAGACGAAAGCUAGGGUAGCAAAUGGGAUUAGAUACCCCAGUAGUCCUAGCCGUAAACGAUGGAUACUAGAU